GAUGAAGAACGUAGCGAAAUGCGAUAAGUAAUGUGAAUUGCAGAAUUCAGUGAAUCAUCGAAUCUUUGAACGCACAUUGCGCCCGGCAGUACUCUGCCGGGCAUGCCUGUUCGAGCGUCAUUUCAACCCUCAAGCCCUGCUUGGUGUUGGGGCCCCACGGCUGCCGUGGGCCCUGAAAGGAAGUGGCGGGCUCGCUACAACUCCGAGCGUAGUAAUUCAUUAUCUCGCUUAGGGCGUUGGGCGGCGCUCCAGCCGUUAAAGAACCAUCUUUAACUCAAGGUUGACCUCGGAUCAGGUAGGAAUACCCGCUGAACUUAAGCAUAUCAAUAAGAGGAGGA
rnacentral:misc_RNA from 1 species